AUACGGAGGGGGCUAGCGUUGUUCGGAAUUACUGGGCGUAAAGCGCGUGUAGGCGGAUCGUUAAGUCAGGGGUGAAAGCCCGGGGCUCCACCCCGGAACUGCCCUUGAUACUGGCGAUCUAGAGUCCGCAAGAGGUGGGCGGAAUUCCCGGUGUAGAGGUGAAAUUCGUAGAUAUCGGGAGGAACACCAGUGGCGAAGGCGGCUCACUGGUCCGGUACUGACGCUGAGACGCGAAAGCGUGGGGAGCAAACAGGAUUAGAUACCCUAGUAGUCC
rnacentral:rRNA from 1 species